AUAUGAAGGGGGGGGAGGGGGAGGGGGCUGCUGACGUUACUCCCAGCUUGCAGAACACACAGAUCACUUCUAUGAUUGAUGAGGAUAUGUGAGUGAAUUUGCCAAACACUGAACAAAGAAAUCUACUGCAUCCUCCGUGAUUUCCGGGUGAUUGGAUUUCAACACGGAUGGAAAGAUGGCAGAUAUGAUUGAACGGUUUGUUCAAAACCGCUCCGCACAAUAGCGC